AAAAUAAUCCUACCCUUUGUGAAUUUUGUUUGUUUGAAUAAUUUUUUUUUUUAAAAAAUUAUUGGAGUCUUUCCCUUUAGAGUUUGCUUUUGAGUUUGUAAAAGAAUUCGAAAACAUCUAAAGGGGAUGGUCAAUAAUUUUUUUGAAAAAAGACAUUUUUUAAAAUUAAACUUUUUGUAUUCAUUUGUCUAAAAAUUAUUUUUAUAAUAUAAAAACAACUUUUGACAAUGGAUCUCUUGGUUCUCGCAACGAUGAAGAACGCAGCAAAAUGCGAUAAGUAGUGUGAAUUGCAGAAUACGUGGAUCAUCGAAUCUUUGAACGCAUAUUGCACUUUUUUAGUUUACUAAAAAAGUAUGUCUGUUUGAGUAUCAGUAAAAUAUUCUCAUAAAAAUCAUUGUGUAUUUUUAUGGUUAUGAGUGUUUUACAACGAUACAAGUUGUUUCACUUUAAAUUUUUUUUUUAAUAUUGAAAUUUUUCUAAUUUUAAUAAUUGAAAAUUGGAUAAAAUUUUCCCGUCAAAGGAAUAACCUAAACAAUUUUAAACGAUUAAUUUUAGCAAAAUUUUCGUAAAAAAGGAAAAUUUUUAUUAAAAUAACUUGAUCUCAAAUCAGAUAAGAGUACCCGCUGAACUUAAGCAUAUCAAUAAGCGGAGGAAAAGAAACUAACAAGGAUUCCCUUAGUAACGGCGAGUGAAGCGGGAAGAGCUCAAAUUUGAAAUCUUCAAGGUUUUACCUUGACGAAUUGUAGUUUAAAGAAGUGUUUUCUGCUGAAGUUUUGGUAAAAGUUCUUUGGAAUAGGACAUCAUAGAGGGUGAGAAUCCCGUAUUUGACCAUUAUUUUCAGCUUUGUGAUACACUUUCAAAGAGUCGGAUUGUUUGGGAAUGCAGUCCAAAAUGGGGUGGUAAAUUUCAUCUAAAGCUAAAUAUUGGCGAGAGACCGAUAGCGACAAGUACCGUGAGGGAAAGAUGAAAAGAACUUUGAAAAGAGAGUUAAACAGUACGUGAAAUUGUCAAAAGGGAAGCGUUGACACCAGUGUUGUUUUCUCGAAAAUCAAUUAAAAAUGGCUCGAUUUUGUAUUGCUGAGACCUUAAAAGCUCACUAUACAUUUUUCGUGUCUUUUUUAAUGCACUUUUCGUUUAACAAGUCAACAUCAGUUUCUUUUGUUGUAAAAGGGUCAUUGGAAGGUGGCUUUCUUUUCGGAGAAAGUGUUUAUAGCCUUUGGCCUCUGCAAUCGAGAGACUGAGGUCUGCAGCGUAGACUCUUCGGGGUUAGAUACUUUUGUGCUAAGUUAUAGCUUUUUAUAGACAACUUGUUGACUAUAAUUAGUCUUGUAGCUUACUCGCUUAUGCUAUUU
rnacentral:misc_RNA from 1 species